rnacentral:rRNA from 1 species
UACGAAGGGGGCUAGCGUUGUUCGGAUUUACUGGGCGUAAAGCGCACGUAGGCGGAUCUUUAAGUCAGAGGUGAAAUCCCAAGGCUCAACCUUGGAACUGCCUUUGAUACUGGGGAUCUCGAGUUCGGGAGAGGUGAGUGGAACUGCGAGUGUAGAGGUGAAAUUCGUAGAUAUUCGCAAGAACACCAGUGGCGAAGGCGGCUCACUGGCCCGAUACUGACGCUGAUGCGCGAAAGCCAGGGGAGCAAACGGG